GACGAACGCUGGCGGCGCGCCUAACACAUGCAAGUCGAACGAGCGAGAGAGAGCUUGCUUUCUCGAGCGAGUGGCGAACGGGUGAGUAACGCGUGAGGAACCUGCCUCAAAGAGGGGGACAACAGUUGGAAACGACUGCUAAUACCGCAUAAGCCCACGGCUCGGCAUCGAGCAGAGGGAAAAGGAGUAAUCCGCUUUGAGAUGGCCUCGCGUCCGAUUAGCUAGUUGGUGAGGUAACGGCCCACCAAGGCGACGAUCGGUAGCCGGACUGAGAGGUUGAACGGCCACAUUGGGACUGAGACACGGCCCAGACUCCUACGGGAGGCAGCAGUGGGGAAUAUUGCACAAUGGGGGAAACCCUGAUGCAGCGACGCCGCGUGGAGGAAGAAGGUCUUCGGGAUUGUAAAACUCCCUGGUUGUUGGGGAAGAUAACUGACGGUACCCAACAAGGAAGUGACGGCUAACUACGUGCCAGCAG
rnacentral:rRNA from 1 species